rnacentral:tRNA from 1 species
UCCCUGGUGGUUCAGUGGCUACAACUCCACACUCCUAAUGCAGAGGGCUGAGGUUCAAUCCCUGGUCAGGGAA